GGGCCGUUAGCUCAACCGGUAGAGCAAGUGACUCUUAAUCACUAGGUUCGGUGUUCGAUCCACCGACGGCUCACCA
rnacentral:tRNA from 1 species